rnacentral:pre_miRNA from 7 species
GUCUAGGACCUCUGGGUGGUCGCGCUGUUUCCCGGCCAAUGCACCAAAUGAAAGACCCUCGAGGGGAGACCCUCACUCAGACACUCAAGUCCCGGGACAGCCGCGUACCCAAGAAGACACUGAGACCA